rnacentral:rRNA from 1 species
UACGGAGGGGGCUAGCGUUGUUCGGAAUUAUUGGGCGUAAAGGGCGCGUAGGCGGCCGAAUAAGUCUGACGUGAAAUCCCACGGCCCAACCGUGGAACUGCGUUUGAUACUGUUCGGCUCGAGUCCGGGAGAGGGUAGCGGAAUUCCCAGUGUAGCGGUGAAAUGCGUAGAUAUUGGGAGGAACACCGGUGGCGAAGGCGGCUACCUGGACCGGUACUGACGCUGAGACGCGAAAGCGUGGGGAGCGAACAGG